rnacentral:rRNA from 1 species
CAGCGACUGGGGUGAAGUCGUAACAAGGUAGCCGUAGGUGACCUGCAGAAGGAUCA